UAACUUCAUGGAAUUGUCUGAAAUUGCGAUUUACGAUGAUACUGGUACUGAAUCCUCCAAAGAUGGUCAGAGUAAAGACUUGUGGAAACAGACUACACUCAUAGAUAUGUUUGAAAGAAGUUCAAGCUAUGAAGCAGGGGGUCAUAAAACUAGCCAAAUAAAUCAAGCUUUGAUCUACAUGAUUUGCAAAGACAACAUGCCUCUAUCUUGUGUAGAAAAAUCAGGAUUGAAAAGAUUUAUGAGCGUCAUUUGUCCACGCUAUAAAAUUCCAUCACGAACUACUAUAACUGGCCUCAUGGAACAACGAUACGCCACUACCAAAGCCAUUU